rnacentral:lncRNA from 1 species
CAAAAAAGGAGAAACACCUAGGACUAAGGAAGGCCUCAGAGAAGGGAUCCAAAAGCAUUUCCAGAUAAUUUUGUUCUUGACAUCCUCCUUUCCUCUGAGUUUUUCUUAUGAAAAUGUUUUCUCUAUAGACCGUGGCAAUAUUUUACCUGAGACAAACAACUACAUUUCUGCAAACUGUUUUUAUCCACAAAAGGACGUGGGUGAACCGUGGGCAGCAUUAUUGUGCCUAGUGUUCAAUUUCAGGAGUAGUAUUCACAAACUCAUCUGCAUACCCACACUUCCCUGGAAUGAGUGAAAAUCUACAGAGUCCAGGAGUGAGAUGGGUAAAUCCCAGCACAUUGGUUGGAGGAUGCCUACAUUGAAUUUCCAGAAGAAUGAGGAGAUGGCUGCAGUUUUUCUUUGGCUUAGAUGUCACCUCUGGAAGAUGGAGACAAGAUACUGUAUGUGCAGUUGAAAUAGUUUUUUUCAGUAUGGUACGGCAAGCCCCACCAUUGAUUCAUUUCUAUACAACUCGAGUAUGAAUCUUGCAGGAACUUAAAGUGCUCAAAACACAACAUUCACCUUGAGGUGAACAGUAUACCUUUGCCCCAAAGGGAAAGCAAGCCUUUAGAUCGCUAUUGCUUUUGUAUCACUAUUGUUUUUGUAUGGAUUCAAUUUAUGAAAUGAUGAUCAUUCCAGGAAAGAAAAUAUCAGAUAAAUUAACAGUGCAUAGUUUCUUAAGAAGAUUUACUAUGGGAGAAACUAACUGGGAAUCUUCCAGGAGCUUGUUACCCAUCAAAUAUGCAGUUUUUAAGAUCAACAGCUUGAGUAACUGGUAAGUUUAUUUAAUUUGCUCUUUGCAUAAAAAAUGCAUUACAAUUAUACUUACAAUUUUUAUGUUGUUUCAAGGAAAAAAUGUCGAUUUGACUAUGAGAUGUUUUGACUUAAAAACAUCCCCCCC